CAGAACCGCAGGGCCAGAUCACGCCUCCUCCUGUGGGGCCGGAUCACGUCUCCUCCUGUGGGGCCGUUCAGAACCGCAGGGCCGGAUCACGCCUCCUCCUGUGGGGCCGUUCAGAACCGCAGGGCCGGAUCACGCCUCCUCCUGUAGGUCCGUUCAGAACCGCAGGGCCGGAUCACGCCUCCUCCUGUGGGGCCGUUCAGAACCGCAGGGCCGGAUCACGCCUCCUCCUGUAGGUCCGGAUCACGCCUCCUCCUGUAGGUCCGUUCAGAACCGCAGGGCCGGAUCACGCCUCCUCCUGUAGGUCCGUCUAGAACCGCAGGGCCGGAUCACGCCUCCUCCUGUAGGUCCGUUCAGAACCGCAGGGCCGGAUCACGCCUCCUCCUGUAGGUCCGUUCAGAACCGCAGGGCCGGAUCACGCCUCCUCCUGUGGGGCCGGAUCACGCCUCCUCCUGUGGGGCCGGAUCACGGCUCCUCCUGUAGGUCCGUUCAGAACCGCAGGGCCGGAUCACGUCUCCUCCUGUAGGUCCGUCUAGAACCGCAGGGCCGGAUCACGUCUCCUCCUGUAGGUCCGUUCAGAACCGCAGGGCCGGAUCACGCCUCCUCCUGUAGGUCCGUCUAGAACCGCAGGGCCGGAUCACGCCUCCUCCUGUAGGGCCGGAUCACGCCUCCUCCUGUAGGGCCGGAUCACGCCUCCUCCUGUAGGUCCGAAUCACGCCUCCUCCUGUAGGUCCGUUCAGAACCGCAGGGCCGGAUCACGCCUCCUCCUGUAGGGCCGGAUCACGUCUCCUCCUGUAGGUCCGUUCAGAACCGCAGGGCCGGAUCACGCCUCCUCCUGUAGGGCCGGAUCACGCCUCCUCCUGUAGGUCCGUCUAGAACCGCAGGGCCGGAUCACGCCUCCUCCUGUAGGUCCGUUCAGAACCGCAGGGCCGGAUCACGCCUCCUCCUGUAGGUCCGUCUAGAACCGCAGGGCCGGAUCACGCCUCCUCCUGUAGGGCCGGAUCACGCCUCCUCCUGUAGGUCCGUUCAGAACCGCAGGGCCGGAUCACGUCUCCUCCUGUAGGUCCGUUCAGAACCGCAGGGCCGGAUCACGCCUCCUCCUGUAGGUCCGUCUAGAACCGCAGGGCCGGAUCACGCCUCCUCCUGUAGGGCCGGAUCACGUCUCCUCCUGUAGGGCCGGAUCACGCCUCCUCCUGUAGGUCCGUCUAGAACCGCAGGGCCGGAUCACGCCUCCUCCUGUAGGGCCGGAUCACGCCUCCUCCUGUAGGUCCGAAUCACGCCUCCUCCUGUAGGUCCGUUCAGAACCGCAGGGCCGGAUCACGCCUCCUCCUGUGGGGCCGGAUCACGCCUCCUCCUGUAGGUCCGAAUCACGCCUCCUCCUGUAGGUCCGUUCAGAACCGCAGGGCCGGAUCACGCCUCCUCCUGUAGGUCCGAAUCACGCCUCCUCCUGUAGGUCCGUUCAGAACCGCAGGGCCGGAUCACGCCUCCUCCUGUAGGUCCGUCUAGAACCGCAGGGCCGGAUCACGUCUCCUCCUGUAGGUCCGAAUCACGUCUCCUCCUGUAGGUCCGUUCAGAACCGCAGGGCCGGAUCACGUCUCCUCCUGUAGGUCCGUCUAGAACCGCAGGGCCGGAUCACGCCUCCUCCUGUAGGUCCGUUCAGAACCGCAGGGCCGGAUCAUGCCUCCUCCUGUAGGGCCGGAUCACGCCUCCUCCUGUAGGUCCGUUCAGAACCGCAGGGCCGGAUCACGCCUCCUCCUGUAGGUCCGUUCAGAACCGCAGGGCCGGAUCACGUCUCCUCCUGUGGGGCCGGAUCACGCCUCCUCCUGUAGGGCCGGAUCACGCCUCCUCCUGUAGGUCCGUUCAGAACCGCAGGGCCGGAUCACGUCUCCUCCUGUAGGUCCGUUCAGAACCGCAGGGCCGGAUCACGUCUCCUCCUGUAGGUCCGUAUCACGCCUCCUCCUGUAGGUCCGUUCAGAACCGCAGGGCCGGAUCACGCCUCCUCCUGUAGGUCCUGAUGUGGAUCCGGGCCUUUGGUUCUGGACGUUCGUGUGGAGUCUGGGCUUUCUGCAGCAGGGGAACCAGCGUGGGGCUGAUUUCUGCUGCUUUCUGUGAUCCAGGAAGGACACACCUGGUUGAUGCACCUGGAGACGUUAUCAGUCAAAGUUUGACUCUGCAGCACCGUUCAGCCAUGCAUACGGUGCUUUACAGGUUAAUAUAGAGACAGGAAGAUGUCGAGACCAAGGAGAUGACAUAGAAAAACGUGAAAUGGAGAAAAUAACGGCAUAAAAGAGAUAAAAACUAACAAAUGCAUAACAGCACCAUUCAAACCAGUUCUCAAAGCUGUAUAGAAAAAAUAAACCACAGAAUAAACUAAGAAAACGUCAUCUGUUGAACAGCAAGGAGUAAAAGGCCUGAACAGACGUGUUUCAGCUGCGAUUUAAAGAUUUUAGCUUCAAUUAGGGCCAAACUGUCUCAACACUGAGAGAAGACUAAACCUGGCUGCUCCUCAAACCGGUCCAUCCUUCCCUCUCCAGUCCCUGUCCAUACUCAUGAGUCACUGGCGGCUGUCCUUUAGAGCGUUUUGAACCUAAGUUGUUGAUUUGGCCUUGACUUUCUGUCUGAUUGAAAGCGGAAGUGAGGAAAAUGUGGGACUGGAGAUGUCUGGCGGGCUCACCAUGCCGAUUCAAUCGGUCUGGUGCUACCUCCAUGUUGCUCUGUUAGCUCAUUGCUAGCUGCUCUGCGUGAUGACAGAGCUGAACAGACUAGAUCACUGGAACUGUUCUGCAGGCAAUUAACAAGGGUUACUUUUUCUUAGUGUUCAGAGGGUCACAGAUAAAGAUAAUGAAGUAUUAAGGUGCUCGUUGCAUAAUGAUGAUUGAGGCUUCAUUUACAGCAAUGUGAAUUUAGAUAUUCAGAGAGGAUGGUGUGCAGCAGGCAGUAACAUUAAG